GGAAAUCUAGGCGGAGCUAUUGCAUUGAUAGAAAAUGCAAAAAGCCCAUGCUCUAGCUUGGACCCUGAGCUGGACGGCUCGUGAGUUCAAAGGGGCAUUCUGCUUUGGAGCCAUCUCUAGGCCAAGGCAGGGUAAAAGCCACAUGAAGGGAGCAGAGAAUGUGUCUCGGGGCAUUUCUACAUUGCAGCCGGAGGGGUGACUGCAGCGCCAUGGCCCAAUAGAGCAGUGAAGAUGCAGUGGCAUGGAGCCUAGGAGGACCUCAGGUCUGCCUUGUGCGUGACCAGCUGCAUCUUCCAGGCCAGUGAGUCGGCUGAGUAAGGAGCAUCUCUGCCAAGGGGGCUGCAGCGAGUGGAGGCAUCUCUGUACCUCGUGCGAUAGAGGCCUGUGCGUUUGGGGAUGAAGGUUGAGAUUUCUCUUCCUGUGUGCUACAUGGAGGAAGUGCAGCUGAGCGGAUGUCUGUUCAUGUAUGUGGCAGACAUUAAUUAGUUUGGUUUGCCUUACGGUAGUAUAUGGUAUUACAGAAUGCCAUUUGGAAGUAGAAACGACUUAGGACUGGAUUGAAAGGUCUGGGGAUAUUGUAAGAGCAGAGGGAAGAUCCAUUCUGGCGUAGUUGUUGAAAUGUGCCUUGAAGUUGCUUUAUCAUUAUACUUUGGCUUGGCAGAAUUCCAGCUCUAUUUUUUGAUCAUUUCAAAAGAUAAUAUCAAUGUUUAUAUUUUUAAGCAUAUUUUCUAUUUUAUCAAUUUCAGUUUUCACAGUUGUGCAAAAUACUGGGUGUUAAGGCAUUUGUUGUUUUUUGUAUCUAUUUCAGUGUUGCAGGAAAUGAUGGGUAGGUCAGCCAAUAGUUAUCUAAUGACAGUAGAUAUGGAAAUUCAAAAAGUGAAAGCUUUAUAACCCUUAAAACAAAACUGUUCA